rnacentral:tRNA from 1 species
AAAGAUUUAGUUAAAAUUAUAACAUUAGAAUGUCAAACUAAAAUUGUUUAAAACAAUCUUUU